rnacentral:rRNA from 1 species
GAUGAACGCUGGCGGCGUGCCCAAUACAUGCAAGUCGAGCGAAUGGAUUAAGAGCUUGCUCUUAUGAAGUUAGCGGCGGACGGGUGAGUAACACGUGGGUAACCUGCCCAUAAGACUGGGAUAACUCCGGGAAACCGGGGCUAAUACCGGAUAACAUUUUGAACCGCAUGGUUCGAAAUUGAAAGGCGGCUUCGGCUGUCACUUAUGGAUGGACCCGCGUCGCAUUAGCUAGUUGGUGAGGUAACGGCUCACCAAGGCAACGAUGCGUAGCCGAACUGAGAGGGUGAUCGGCCACACUGGGACUGAGACACGGCCCAGACUACUACGGGAGGCAGCAGUAGGGAAUCUUCCGCAAUGGACGAAAGUCUGACGGAGCAACGCCGCGUGAGUGAUGAAGGCUUUCGGGUCGUAAAACUCUGUUGUUAGGGAAGAACAAGUGCUAGUUGAAUAAGCUGGCACCUUGACGGUACCUAACCAGAAAGCCACGGCAAACUACGUGCCAGCCGCCGCCGUAA